GCCCAGCUCCGCUCGCCCGGGAGCCUCCCUGCAGCUUCCUUCCACCCACUGAGGGGUCUGCACAGGGCGGGUUCCUUCCUCUCUCCUGUGCCCACUGCGGGAGCCCGCAGGGCCCAGAGAGCUGGGAGGAAAGAGGAGCCCAGGCACCCCCUACUGGUACUGUGGCCUCCGCAGGGGCCCAUGGACCUGGGUCUGGGGGUCCUCAGAGGCCAAGGGCAGGGGCUCCAGACACGGAUCCCCAAGACAGCCCAGGCUGGCCUCCUCCAGGGCCCGGCCCUCUCUCCUAGAGCCUCCCCUGACCAGGCAGUCCUGCCAGUGCACCUGCCCAUCUCCCUGUGCCACCCAGGACGCAGGCCCAGCCAGGUGGUGCUGGGGGUGAGAGGCAGAGAGGGAUAAAGACCCCUGCCCCAGGCUGGCUCAGGACCUCAGGCCAGGACCUGCCUGGGGCCCAAGUCCCUGUCAGCAGAAGGGGAGGGUGGGCUUGCUACCCCCCCUGCCCUUGGACACAUGCACACUCCAGCCCCUUCCCCUGGUGCUCUGUUGGCCAUUCUGAGGCAGUACCUCCCUGCACC
rnacentral:lncRNA from 1 species